AUGGAAAUCAGGAUUCUGCAAGCCUCCCGAGUGCAUGUCGGCAGCCGGUUCCCUUGGUGUCUGAACCACCGACCUCUCUACCCCACUGUAUUUCCAAAAUGUGGCUUUCUAACAAGCUGAUGUUGGACAAGCUGGAAGUAAAAGGGAAGUGGGUCGUUAUGAGAGUUGACUUCAGUGUUCCUAUGAAGAACAACCAGACAACAACCAACCAGAGGAUUGAGGCUACUGUCCCAAACAUCAAAUUCUGCUUGGACAAUGGAGCCAAGUCAGUAGUUUUUAUGAGCUACCUAGGCCGGCCUGAUGGUGUCCCUAUGCCUGACAAGUACUCCUUAGAGCCAGUUGCUGUAGAACUCAAAUCUCUGCUGGGCAAGGAUGUUCUGUUCUUGAAGGACUGGGCAGGCCCAGAAGUGGAGAAAGCCUGUGCCAACCCAGCUGCUGGGUCUGUCAUCCUGCUGGAGAACCUCCGCUUUCAUGUGGAGGAAGAAGGGAAGGGAAAAGAUGCUUCUGGGAACAAGGUUGAAGCCGAGCUAGCCAAAAUAGAAGCUUUCUGAGCUUCACUUUCCAAGCUAGGGGAUGUCUAUAUCAAUGAUGCUUUUGGCACUGCUCACAGAGCCCACAGCUCCAUGGUAGGAGCCAGUCUGCCACUGAAGGCUGGUGUUUUUUUUU